rnacentral:rRNA from 1 species
UACGUAGGGUGCGAGCGUUGUCCGGAAUUAUUGGGCGUAAAGAGCUCGUAGGCGGCUUGUCGCGUCGGAUGUGAAAGCCCGGGGCUUAACUCCGGGUCUGCAUUCGAUACGGGCAGGCUAGAGUUCGGUAGGGGAGAUCGGAAUUCCUGGUGUAGCGGUGAAAUGCGCAGAUAUCAGGAGGAACACCGGUGGCGAAGGCGGAUCUCUGGGCCGAUACUGACGCUGAGGAGCGAAAGCCAGGGGAGCGAACGGG